rnacentral:rRNA from 1 species
UACGUAGGGUGCGAGCGUUGUCCGGAAUUACUGGGCGUAAAGAGUUCGUAGGCGGUUUGUCGCGUCUGCCGUGAAAGUCCGGGGCUCAACUCCGGAUCUGCGGUGGGUACGGGCAGACUAGAGUGAUGUAGGGGAGACUGGAAUUCCUGGUGUAGCGGUGAAAUGCGCAGAUAUCAGGAGGAACACCGAUGGCGAAGGCAGGUCUCUGGGCAUUAACUGACGCUGAGGAGCGAAAGCAUGGGGAGCGAACAGG